CACGAAGCUUAAGGUUUAACCUUACUGGAUAAGUAACCCUUAUCGUUUAAAUAUAUGCCCUUAAGAUAAUGUGUUAAAUGUGUUUGAUCUAACCGAGUGCCGUUUAAAAUAUGAAUUUACCUAUGUAAAGCGCUAGUGCACAGAAAAUAUCCGACUAUGGGGGUUGGUCAGCAUUACCAAAGCUAGCUGAUUAUUUGCACCGCUAUGGGUAGCUAUUGCAUUUGUAGUGCGUUAAGGCAGAUACAAUGGACCAAUGUCUACUACAUGCAGGGCUGUAAGGCCUUCUGACAUCCUGAAAAUGGCCCAUGGACAGAGAGAAUGUGGUCCCCCUCGAACCUGCUAUUCUGCAUAUUUAUGAAAUGAGCUAAGCCUAGAAUAUAAAGAGGACCAGGACCUCAAAGAGCCAUCUGCAUUGUUAUUUCAGAUCCAUAGGAUUGGUUGGGGGUAAAAAGAAGAAAAUCCACAUGACCAGCAAGAAAGAUGGCUCAUCUCAUUUACCCCGGCGCUGCAUCAGUUCGCCCACGCACUAUGAAAAUCAGUGGAUUUGGGCAUAGCUGCACAGCAGUACGUCCUCAACACAGCCCCGCGUCUCUCCGAUCCCCCGCAAGCACGUUCGGCGCUUCUCUUCUCAGGUAUGAAACAAAGAAAAGAGUCAAACUUGAGUAAACUACUGUGAUGAAUGAAGAAUGUAAGAUAAGGGAUUGAACAUGUGAUGUGCAGGUCUGGGGAACAUGAUGUAGUCUAACUUGUCCAGAAAACAAUAUACAAUGAGGCAUAUUUAUAUAUAAAUGCUGAAGGUAAAAUUGAUGGAUAUGUCAAAAAGGUGAUUUAGAAACUAGCUGGCGUUUAUAUGUUUCUAGAAAGUGAGCUCUAUAUACAGUACAAUGUGUAGCACUAGCAAAAACCCUGCUUCUCCAGGAGCAAAAUUUUUACUUGGAAGUGAGAAGAAAGCUGGCAACAGCUGACCUGAGUUGGCGGCAAGAGCAUGCUUGUGCAGCAUUUGCGAUGAGGCCCGCCCAUUCAAAGCCUUGUAAAUCAGAAUCAGGAGCAGAACUUUGUUGCAAAUUUUGAGUUAGAAAAGGAGCCACUGAAGCUUCAAAAGUAGUGCGCAGAUGUGUUCACUGGGUUGUGUGUAUGAGUGUAUUUUUAACAAGCUGUGCCAAGUGCAUUAUAAUCUUGUAGUGGUAAAAAUGUGCGACAGAACUCUGAAUCACUUAAAGGUGUCAGAGUGAUGCUAUGGGGAUAGCAAGUCAGUAGGGCUGUAUUUGUGCAGCCAGGUAAAUGAAAUUAGACCUCAAAUAUCAAGAUAAUGGUUACCAAGGUUUUGCUUCCACCUUGUGGAUAAAAAUAUUCUGCAAAAUUUGGGAGUGAGACAAACACUGGUGGAAUUUAUAUGUGCUUUGUGAAGCCUCCAUGAUACACUCUCAGAAAAGAUUCAUAUUUUAUUUUUUGCUUUUUGGGUUAUAUGAGCUCCUGCUUGAAACAUUAUAGGGUGUGCUAACAGGAUGGUCAGGGCACUGUGCAUGUGAUAGUAGCACAUAUAUGAACCCAGAGUUGUGCUACAUUCCAUCUAAGCAAAAAGUAGCCAUAGGGCUGCUUAAAUGCAUAGCAUUUACUGUACAGUUUCAGCUGUGAAACUGAAUAAGGGCUGCUGGGAAAAUAAUAAAUGUAAUACUAGCUUGUGAAUGUCAAGAUCACUGGGGUCAUGAUCCAGUCACUAAGGAAAAGCAGGAUGAAUCCGUGUUUUUCUCUUUCUUUCACAUGAUAAAUCCAUGUUAAUUUAGAGUAUCUCGUUUCUUAAUAUGGAACUUCCCCUACUCUGUGUGUAAAUGUACUGCCCGUGCGGCAACUUCCUUGCUCAUAUGAUUUUGUCAAUCCAAGGGCAGACAGUAUCAACCGUAUAAAGUCAAUAAUUUAUUCAAGCACAUGCAAAAAUGAAGGAUCUUAUUUAAUCAUAUUUUUAUUUAACACAAGACAGCACAAUUAUGUAAUAAGCAUAUGGAAUAACACAAUUGUGUCUGUCAAAGGGGAUUAAGAGGGGUGGUACCAACAGUAGCUUGAAACUGUAUGUUUAAUCGAAAAAUUCAAAUUAUCAUGGGCCCCAGUAUUGUAACCUUGUGAGUGGUGAAAACCUUUAUUUCUUCAGUAAAUAUCCAGCUAUGUAAAUGGCCAAAAUGUAGGCUACAAGAUGCAAACUCUGUACAUUUCCCUGGGUAAUGGUGUCUGCUAAGCAAAUAAAUAAUGUAAGGCAGGAGUUUGUGUGUGCGAGAAUAGACUCAUUAUUGUUUGAUAGAGAUUUUUACAUUCAUGGGAGCAGCUGGGAGCCUCAGCCUCUCCCGCUCAGUCUGACAGAGCCUUUCAUCCUGGCCAAUAACGGUGCUUGUCAGCCACUGAAAACCCUACGCUGCUUCAAAAAACUUCUACAUGAAAUAUUGAUGAGCUCCUUUGGAAACUGCUGCAGAGAUACAGCCCCAGUCCAACAAAACCACGCUUAUGAACAGUGGUCAGUUGCAUUAACAUUAGGUUGUCCCUUAUGCGUCCGCUUUUGGUCCCCUAUAGGAGCAAAAUGAUAAGCUGUGCCGGUCUUCUGCACUGUAACAAUGAAGAACAAUCAACCGUGCUGUUUCAUGUAAUUUCACUGUAUAUUAAUAUCAUCAGCAUUAUUGAUCUUUAUCCUCAUUAUUCGACUUUUAUGAUAUAGAGACAGAUACACAUGACGUGUAAAUGAAAAUUUGUUAUUGCAUAUGUUGCCAGAAUAUAAGUGUGUGGUGUGUGUGUGUAUGCGUGCGCAUGUGUAAUCACUUUAUAAGAAUCUAUACGGUCCUGAGUGGCAGUGUGUGUUUUGUUGUUGUUUGAAUACUGCACUAUUGAAAUGGGAACAUGACCUAGAAUAUACUGUAUUUUACAGACUAAUGGGAUGUCAUAUAUGUGUAGUACUGAGUAGCAUUUGAGAUUGACUGAAGUUGGAAGCUCUGUUGGUUCUCCUUACAUGCAAAGAACCUUAUUCUGUUACCCGAAGUUUAAAGCAUUUGUUUUAGACUGUGACUGAUCCUGUCAUGGAGACAGGCCGUAAUGGUUAAUGUAAUACAUUUAUUUUGGGGGGAUGAAAGGGUCUCUGCUGCUCCCUGCUGGUCGAAAGUAGAGCUGUUAAUGUGAAGCAUUAUUCUCUAGCGUGUUGUAAAAUGGAGAACAUUGACUACAAAAUCUCUCAUUGCAAAAUAGUUCUGCAGCAAUUUCUUUGCAAUGUCAUUGAGGACAUGCAUAUGUAAACAAAAGUGAAAUUUAUUCAUAGUACUGGAGAGAACUAAUUUAGGAGACGGAUAAGAUGCUUGAUGGUAAAGUAAAUAAUGUAGAUUAGUAUAGUACUGUGACACACCACCCCUAUUGUGCUCAGCCGGUGAACGUGGACAAAUUUGUUGAUGGUUCAGUGCAGGUGUAAUGAUCUGUUAUAACAAGCGAAAAGUGACUGAUAAAUACCUUCCACACCUUAAAUACACUUAUAUAUAUGUGUGUGUGUGCGUAUGUCUAUGUCUGUGUGUGGGUGUAUGUGUGUACUUGCAUGUCUGUGCGUGUGUGAAUGCAUAUGUUAUAUCUGCGAUCUCUCAUUUCUCCAUGGACCAAUAAAUCCCACACCCACAUAUCCACACCCACGAUCAUUCAUAAUGGAUUUAGAUUCAAGGGAAUAAAUGUGAUAAAUAGUAACCUGUCAUGUGAAUUGGACUGCAGUUGUAUUUUAAGCACAUUUUCCUAAAGAGCAUACACAAAGACGCAAAAGCUGAGGGAGCCUGGCAGUGUUCCCAUUCAAAAGAAUUACAUCAGAAAGUGGACUUUGGCCGUGUGCUGAAACAGCAAGCCUUUCGAUGGCGUUUUCUAUCUCAUUCAAACUGAACUGAACGGCUCGAGGACUGCUGAGUGACUCAUCAUGUAGACGUCAAUCAUUCAUGACUUAGCCUUUAUAUUCCAUCGGGAACAUAGGCCACUGGCCAAACACAGUCACCCCCUUCUGUCCUGGGCAACAGAUCUUCGAGGUGUAAGAAGAUUUAGACGCAUAAUCUCCAUGUGUCUUUCACUGAGCCUCGUUUCUUCUGCUCUAUUCAAAGAGGCUGCUCCCAGGUCCAGUGUCUUGGUGCGGUUAGUCAUCA